GACGAACGCUGGCGGCGUGCUUAACACAUGCAAGUCGAACGGAAAGGCCCUGCUUUUGUGGGGUGCUCGAGUGGCGAACGGGUGAGUAACACGUGAGUAUCCUGCACUUGACUUUCGGAUAACUUCAGGAAACUGGGGCUAAUACCGCAUAGGAGCUCCUGCUGCGUGGUGGGGGUUGGAAAGUUUCGGCGGUUGUGGAUGGACUCGCGGCUUAUCAGCUUGAUGGUGGGGUAGUGGCUUACCAAGGCUUUGACGGGUAGCCGGCCUGAGAGGGUGACCGGCCACAUUGGGACUGAGAUACGGCCCAGACUCCUACGGGAGGCAGCGGGGGGGAAUAUUGCACAAUGGGCGGAAGCCUGAUGCAGCAACGCCGCGUGCGGGAUGACGUCCUUCGGGUUGUAAACCGCUUUCGCCUGUGACGAGGCGUGAGUGACGGUAAUGGGUAAGGAAGCACCGGCUAACUACGUG
rnacentral:rRNA from 1 species